GAAAAUACCCAGCCAUUCGACAGAGACGCAACUCACGAUCAGAGUUAAAUGGUAGGCCUACUACGAAGCUCACUUAGGAUUAGAGGGGUAUUAUAUGCGUCUGAAAAAACCCCGUUACAGAAACAAUAGGGGCCAAGCAGCUUCGCUGCUCGGACCCCUAAUAAGGGCCGUUCAGGAUGCUGCCAAGUUACGGUUGCAAUGGAGACGGUAUCUCGCAGAGCGCUCAGAGAGCAGAUGUUCUUGUGUGGUAACAACUCCCUCUGCUGUCCACAUCCGCUCACUACACACACAGGGACGCAAGAUCACAGGUUAAAGACUUUUUGAAGUAAAGAGGAGCAUCUCAUCUGAACCUGAUGUCUAUCAUGGAUAUUUAACUGCAGUUCUGUGAGUAUCCCACCUUAACCAUCAAGAUUAACUUCAAACUGUAAGUGAUUAGUUUCUCAUUACUCUUGGGCACAUUGAUGUAUUUUGGCUUCCUGGUGAGUUAACCCGUUACCUGAAGGUUGAUUUGAGUAGUGAGGAUGUUUUAUUGGUUCAUGAGUUACUUAGGUGUUUGGUUUAUAUUGGUUUUAAUGAUUUGUUUAAAAGGUUACAGGCUCCAAGUUAUUGUUGUAAGCUGGAGUAAUGGUUUGGGUUCUGAUGUCUUCAGUCUUCUUUCCAGUUGCUCUCCUGAGCUCUGCAUCUUCAUCACAUGAGCGUUGCUUUACUGAUGCGGGUGUGAUCUGAGUGAGCAGAGGUGCAUACUGGGAUACAGAGCUGUCUGAAGUCUACAGGUCUGUAGACACGCCCCCUCAGGGGAAACCGAGCGUUUGAGAAACCGUCGUAACGUCAGUUACAUGGACUGGAAUGUUCUUUAAGAUGGAGACAGGGAUUCAGAAGGAGAAACACCAGGGGGAGAUGAGGGGACUCCUCAUCUCAACGACAAAAACACAACUUCAGUCUGAUACAUAACCAUGGAACACGUUCAACAGUCCCCGCCAGGCAUCCUGACUCCUCAGGAACAGUUUCAUUACCAAGAAGGUCUUAUUUGGGGCCAUCCCCAGAUGGAUCCUGCUCCUCAAGAGCCACCCCCCUCCACUGGGUGGUCUUCUGAACAGAUGACCUCCUUCCUGUCCUCAGGCUGACUAAAGCUGCACCGUUUGCAUCUGUGAAGGCCCCUCAUUCAGGAAACCACUGGACUACAAAGACAUGACUUCAUAGAAGUCGAAAUCAACCUUGGAGACAUUUUGGAGACGCCAAGCAUAAUCCAUCACCAAUGUGGGACGCCACUGAAAAAUGUUGUACAUCAUUUCCUUCUCUGGAGACAUUGGUUGUUCUGUUCUGGGUGCCCUGGCAGGAGAGCUGGGGUUGGAUGAUGGAACGUUGUUUGGCAUGAGGUUUUUACCCUGUGUGUGUGUGUGUGUGUGUGUGUGUGUGUGUGUGUGUGUGUGUGUGUGUGUGUGUGUGUGUGUGUGUGUGUGUGUGUGUGUGUGUGUGUGUGUGUGUGUGUGUGUGUGUGUGUGUGUGUGUGUGUGUGUGUGUGUGUGUGUGUGUGUGUGUGUGUGUGUGUGUCCCCCACUCACACCUGGCAUGGGGUUCCACGUGCAUGUCCUGGGUUCUGUGUGUGUGUCCGGCUUGCUUUGACAGUGAUAAUGUUCAUACGGGGGUUUGUGAUUGGCUUGGGAUAUUGGAAUGGUCAAAUAAAUCAUACCUGAUGGACGGCCACACGUUUACUUAAAGGCCUCCAGUAGACGUGAAGAGCCCAGAGCGACGCUGCGGAGCGAUAUCCAACACACUGGGCAGGAAGGAGAGUAUCCAACUCAAGUGUAAAAGGAUGCAAGCGGCGUGUUCAGAUCAGUGACUUCAAACUAGGACUAAACCAAUCAGGAUCAAUGGAGGAUGGACACCUAAAGGAAUUCCAAAAGGAAAGUCUGACGUUGGAAAGGGACCUAAAUGGAUAUUCAAGAUGACCUUCAGACCUGUAAUGAGAUGGCUCUUCCUACCUGGCUGGAUUGAUGGAGAGCCCUGUGGAUCUUGUCUUUUUCUCAGUUGCACAUCUACUCAGGCUGAACUGUAUUUGUUUCGGACAGGACUAGCUGAACGAUUGGUUCCCUUAAAUCAGAACCAAUCUGGGAACUCCAACUAGUGCGCUCUUCGAGCUGAAGUUGUGCUCUUCAGCUGAGGAGGUAAGGAAACCCUCACUGAGGCUUCAAGGUGUAAAGAGGAGGAUGUUUCAAAGUGUUCCAUGGUACUCGGAUAAAGACCGUUGUCAUGUUCCACUGGCUGAGAGGAAGAACACUCGGAUGUUCCUCUUGGCCUUUCUCCUCUGAGAAUCCUGGCGCCAUCUUGAAGGAUAAUCCUGCUCAUGUAUCUGAUGUCAUGACAGAUUCUCAAACACUUGGUUUCUCCUGAGGGGCGUGUCUAUAGAACUGAAGACUUCAGACAGCACUGUAUCCCAGCAUGCAUCUCUGCUCACUCAGACCACACCCCCAUGAGUAGGAUGCAACGCUCUAGUGAUGGAGUUGUAGAGUUUUAUAAGUAACGAGGGAGCAGACAAAGGUGAUUAGAACACAAUGGCAUGUCAAGUCUGUAAAUCUUUAAACCAUGAAGAUGGUCUGAUAGUUCAGGAAUUGGGCUUUUUAUUAUGGGCGGUCCUUUCGCUCAGAUGCCCACUUCUCACUGGACCUGUACAUGUGUUGGCUGGCUGGCAUGAUUUGCUGUUGGUGAUGAGUCGGUCAGGGUGACGUUGCAGGGCUACGGUCGGCUCUCUGUGAGCUCAACGUUUAGAUUUGCUCUGGAUGGUUUGUACCUUGAAUAAUCUAGAUAGUUGUAAAAUGUAGAUACGGUUUUGUAUUUGAUUUUAGCUUUAAAGUUGUUGUGGGACGUACAUGGUAGUUUUGGUUCUUAUGUUUUUGAGUGAUAACUUGUACACACUGGGUGCAUAAUAAUGUAAAGGUACACUGAAUAGUAGUAAUGACCAACAGCAACAAACAGAUCUCCUCAAGGUAAGUCUGUUGGCUGUGUUUUAAUGAAGAUCAUCGCUGGACUUCAGGAUCUUCCUCCGUUCAGCUCAAGGUGAGGCGCUGGUUCUGUUUUAUCUUUGGUUGGUUCCGGCUGGAAUGUUCGGAUUCCAGUCGGACGGUUUGUGCUUCCCGCCGUGGAAGGUUCUGAGUGCGGUCACUUGAUUUAGUCCCAAUGGCUAGCAUAGAACGUUGUAGUCUUGGCAACCAUAAGAAACCACCUGGCAGUUAGUUGGACGGGAGUCCCCUGAGGGAAUCUGGCAGAACGUUCUGGAUUGUACUUGCGUAACCUCGAGCUGUUGCCAACGGAAACUAUUUUUUUAGUCGUUUCCAUUGGGAAUUGUUGCCCCUUAUCUUAAACAAGUUAACUUUGAUAUUAAAUACAUACCGACAGACACGUACGUCGUACAAUAGGUUGAUAAUUUCCGAUGGUUGCUCCGUACUUUUAACCACAAUGUCGUGACCGGACUCGCGCUGCGUACAAAACGGCGUUCUAGUUGGGGCCCAUUUUUGACAUCCCUGAAGGCUGAAAAUCAUUCCAAGGUGGAAGACAAUUUGACAUUUCUUCAACGGAACCCAGCACCUGAAUAUGGCUGAGUAUAUUUGAUUUAAUAUUGAUACUGCUUAGUGUUCUUUGUUACUUCAGCUUUUGUACGUUCAAUAUAUCUGCUGUCAUUAAUUGCCACAGAAGUUAAACCCUACAAAAUGGAAUGACGCUAAACAACGACUUUGGUGCAGAGUUACCAAGUGGAUAAUAUCAAAGCUAAAAUAAUGGCCGUCCUUCCCACAUGUUACAGUAGAAGAUACUAUAGAACUGUACAAGGCUAAAAAGGUAACGUGUAGUUUGCCCCAAGGUGUCUGCCUCCUCACCCAGAGCCAGACCUCCACCUCCUCACCCAGAGCCAGACCUCCACCUCCUCACCCAGAGCCAGACCGCCACCUCCUGUCAGAAGUCUUCCAGAACAGCUGAAAGGCGAGGCUGAGAGACUGGGGACCGGAGGCUUGUGGUGCCAGGAUGGACCGGAGACUGACGCUGGAGACCAGGGGCCUGCAGCACCGGACCAGAGGACCAAGAAUCCAUGGCUGAAGGAGCUGAAGGAGCUGAUGGAGGAGCCGUGCUGAAGGAGCUGAUGGAGGAGCCGUGCUGAAGGAGCUGAUGGAGGAGCCGAGCUGAUGGAGGUGUCGUGCUGAAGGCCCUGCCUGGUGGAGGAGCUGGUGUAGGCCCUGCCUGGUGAAGGACGUCUGUCGUGGGACCAGGACUCUGUCUGAGGAGAGCUGAUGGAGGACGACUAGGAAUCGACCAACAAGGAUUCCUCAACGUGUUUCUGGAGCGGAGGCGAGUUGGUAGGGGAGCCGCAAAUCUGGAGGACGACAUCACUCUACCAACCAGGAUCCUCGUCUAUCAUGGACAUGUAACUGCAGUUCUGUGAGUAUCCCAACUUGACCAUGAAGUUGAACUGCAAACUGUAAGUCAUAAGUUUCUCAUUACUCUUGGGCACAUUGAUGUAUUUUGGCUUCCUGGCGAGUUAACCCGUUACCUGAAGUUUGAUCUGAGUAGUAAGGAUGUUUUAUUAGUUCAUGGGUUACUGAGGUGUUUGGUUUAUGUUGGUUUUAAUGGAUUGUUAAAAUGGUUACAGGCUCCAAGUUAUUGUUGUAAGCUGGAGUAAUGGGUUGGGUUCUGAUGUCUUCAGUCUUCUUUCCAGCUACUCUCCUGAGCUCUGCAUCUUCAUCAAAUGAGUGUUGCUUGACUGAGGAGGGUGUGGUCUCAGUGAGCAGAGGUGCAUACUGGGAUACAGAGCUGUCUGAAGUCUACAGGUCUGUAGACAUGCCCCUUCAAGGGAAACCGAGUGUUUGAGAAACCGUCGUGAUGUCAGUUACAUGGACUGGAAUGUUCUUUAAGAUGGAGACAGGGAUUCAGAAGGAGAAACACCAGGGGGAGAUGAGGGGACUCCUCUUCUCAACGACUAAAACACAACUUCACUCCGACACAGAGAACCAUGGAACACGUUCAACAGUCGCCUCCAGGCAUCGUGACUCCUCAGGAACAGUUUCAUUUCCAAGAAGGGCUUAUUUGGGGCCAGACCAAGAUGGAUCCUGCUCCUCAAGAGCCACCCCCUCCACUGGGUUGUCUUCUGAACAGAAUACCUCCUUCCUGUCCUCAGGCUGACUAAAGCUGCACCGUUUGCAUCUGUGAAGGCCCCUCAUUCAGGAAACCACAGGACUACAAAGACAUGAAUUCAGAGACGUUGAAUCAACCUUGGAGACAUUUUGGAGACGCCAAGCAUAAUCCAUCACCAAUGUGGGACGCCACUGAAGAAUGUUGUACAUCAUUUACUUCUCUGGAGACAUUGGUUGUUCUGUUCUGGGUGCCCUGGCAGGAGAGCUGGGGUUGGAUGAUGGAAUAUUAUUUGGCAUGAGGUUUUUACCCUGCAUGAUUGUUUGGCCUUUUGUGGCUCAGUGGUGUGUGUUUGUUUGGGUUUGACAUGAGAUGGAUGAUUAUUGAGCAUCGCAAGGGUUCUACUGUGUGUGUGUCUCCCACUCACACCUGGCAUGGGGUUCCACGUGUGAAUCAUUGGUUUUAUGUGUGUGUGUGUGUCCGGCUUGCUUUGACAGUGAUAAUGUUCAUACGGGGGUCUGUGUGAUUGGCUUGGGAUAUUGGAAUGGUCAAAUAAAUCAUCCCUGAUGGACGGCCACAUGUUUAUUUAAGGGCCUCCAGUAGACAUGAAGAGCCCAGAGCGACGCUGCGUAGCGAUAUCCAACACACUGGGCAGGAAGGAGAGUAUCCAACUCAAGUGUAAAAGGAUGCAAGCGGCAUGUUCAGAUCAGUGACUUCAAUCUAGGACUUCACCACUCAGGAUCAAUGGAGGAUGGACACCUAAAGGAAUUCCAAAAGGAGACUCUGAUGUUGGAAAGGGACCUAAUUGGAUAUUCAAGAUGACCUUCAGCCCUGUAAUGAGACGGCUCUUCCUACCUGGCUGGAUUGAUGGAGAGCCCUGUGGAUCUUGUCUUUUUCUCAGUUGCACGUCUUCUCAGGCUGAACUGUAUUUGUUUCGGACAGGACUAGCUGAACGAUUGGUUUCCUUAAAUCAGAACCAAUCUGGGAACUCCAACUAGUGCGCUCUUCGAG